UUGUGGGUUAACUCUGAAACCACACAUUUCUGGAAAGUGACGGUUAAGAGGAAACUCAGCAGAAGGAGGAGCAGAUUGAUAAUUGGAUGAUAAAAAAAGAAGUGUGAAGUUAUUUCAUUUCAGGGAAGAACUGCAGGAGGAUGGAGGCUCUAAAGGUUCUGCUGUUUGUGGUUCUCGUGCUGGUUUCUGUGGAGCAUUCAGAGGGUGUGCGGUGUUUUGCUGUGUUCAACAGCACCACAGGUGAGUGUCAUGACGAGCUCGGUGAGGUGGACCAAGAUGACUGCUGUCACAACCCACAUUAUGGCUACCUGACA